rnacentral:lncRNA from 1 species
AAAACAGUGUCCUUUAUCUCUGUUUUGUUCUCAGUGCCUAGAACAUCCCUCGGUAAAUAAUAGAUAUGUCAUGCAUGGUUCUUGAAGAAGUGAAUUAAUAAAACAUAUGAUGAAUAUGAUCCAAGAGAUAAAGAUAUCCGAAGCACGGGGUGAAGUCUUGAUUCAGGAGAAUGUGAGAAGCCACAUAAAUGAGCCAGAGUCUGCAUGGAAUCUAGAAAAGUAGAACUCCACUGGUGGGUGCUGCUUAUUUUGCCUACAAAUUCGGAAUGCGGAGGUCAUGAUGCUCUCCUGAAUCGAUGGCAUUACUGGACAAAUUCUUUUUUGUCAGGUGCAGUUCCUCUGCUCAGGUGGGAGCACCAGAAAUCCAGUGGUACAUGGAAUUCUCAUUGAAGUUAGAAGAUAUUCGACAAUGCGUGAAUGAAAACUAGAACAACAGGGGCCAUGACGGCUUGGCUCCUGUACCUCCUUUCACAGCUCCUCCCAGGAUCUAGCACCGCGCAUCCUUUCCACCGGACGGCUCAUAGAUGCUGCCGACUGCUAACAAUUACGUGACAAUGCAGAAGCAAUAUCAUUUAUAUAAUUUGAUUAGCUGCAUGGAAUUGUAUGCGCAGACGUUUUUUCCUAAUGGAAGAAUUUUAGUCUGUAAAACUGGUUGAACUAAAGAUUCAAAUAUAAAAGUAUAGACUUUGCCCAUGAUGCUCUCUACCAUUCCAUCCUUCACUCGUUUAUUCAUUCAUGCUUCAAAUAUGCAUUGAGUGGCUACUAUUUGUCAGACAUUCUUUUAGGCGCUGGGUGUACCAGUUCCUGCCCUCAAAAAAUGUUAGUUAUAAGACAGGUAACAGGCGUUUCUCAAAAUUGUGGUUUAUUAAAAAUUAAUAGUUGAACUGGUCUAAUUUUGAUUUAGCUGGGGCAGAUUUCUUGUGUUU